AUGAGCCAUACAAUGAAGCUAUGGGAGAGAGUCGUUGAGCACCGCUUAAGAAGAAUGACAAGCGUGACCAAAAAUCAGUUUGGUUUCAUGCCUGGGAGGUCGACCAUGGAAGCCAUUUUCUUGGUACGACAACUUAUGGAGAGAUAUAGGGAGCAUAAGAAGGACUUGCAUAUGGUGUUCAUUGACUUGGAGAAGGCCUAUGAUAAGAUACCGCGGAAUGUCAUGUGGUGGGCCUUGGAGAAACACAAAGUCCCAGCAAAGUACAUUACCCUCAUCAAGGACAUGUACAAUAAUGUUGUGACAAGUGUUCGAACAAGUGAUGUCGACACCGAUGACUUCCCGAUUAAGAUAGGACUGCAUCAGGGGUCAGCUUUGAGCCCUUAUCUUUUUGCAUUGGUGAUGGAUGAGGUCACAAGGGGUAUACAAGGAGAUAUCCCAUGGUGUAUGCUCUUUGCGGAUGAUGUGGUGCUAGUUGACGAUAGUCGGACGGGGGUAAAUAGGAAGUUAGAGUUAUGGAGACAAACCUUGGAAUCGAAAGGGUUUAGGCUUAGUAGAACUAAAACUGAGUACAUGAUGUGCGGUUUCAGUACUACUAGCUGUGAGGAGGAGGAGGUUAGCCUUGAUGGCCAGGUGGUACCUCGGAAGGACACCUUUCGGUAUUUGGGGUCAAUAUUGCAGGAGGAUGGGGGUAUUGAUGAAGAUGUGAACCAUCGAAUCAAAGCCGGAUGGAUGAAGUGGCGCCAAGCUUCUGGCAUUCUCUGUGAUAAGAGAGUGCCACAAAAGCUAAAAGGCAAGUUCUACAGGACGGCGGUUCGACCCGCAAUGUUGUAUGGCGCGGAGUGUUGGCCGACUAAAAGGCGACAUGUUCAACAGUUAGGUGUGGCGGAGAUGCAUAUGUUGAGAUAG
rnacentral:rRNA from 1 species